rnacentral:rRNA from 1 species
CAGCGCCACGAGUGGUGACCACGUUUAUUGGGCCUAAAGCGUCCGUAGCCGGUUUGGUAAAUCCUUUGUGAAAUUGUGCGGCUUAACCGUACAACGUGCAAGGGACACUGCCAGACUCGAGACCGGGAGGAGUCAGAAGUAUUCCAGGGGGAGCGGUAAAAUGUUAUAAUCCCUGGAGGACUACCUGUGGCGAAGGCGUCUGACCAGAACGGAUCUGACGGUGAGGGACGAAAGCCAGGGGAGCGAACCGGAUUAGAUACCCGAGUAGUCC